rnacentral:misc_RNA from 1 species
UUAAGUUCAGCGGGUAGUCCUACCUGAUUUGAGGUCAAGCCUUAAAGGAACGCAGAAGCGAACUAGUUGGAAGCAUGAGACAUGUCGAUCCAAGCACUUCCAGCCCGCGACGAUCACUACGACGUCGAACAGGCCGUGCCGUGCAAAGGCUCGCGCCCACCGCUAAUGCAUUUGAGGAGAGCCGACGUCCCAAGCAAAGG